UGUUACCAGAGUGUGUUUAGCUGUGGUGGGCUGCUUGCAAAAACAUGAUAGGAAGACAAGUCUCUUGUCAGGGUGGAACGUCAGGGUGGAAAAGUACUAGAUAAUCCCCUGUUGGUUGGGGCUUGUGACUGGGCAGAAUGGAGGUCAGGACUGAGAGUUGAGUAUGAGCUCUUGAGAGAGAAGCCGGAGGUAAGAGUCACCAUCCUUGUAACAAAGUGUUGUCUCUUUAAAACAUAUGACUUAAGAGGCAAAACAGGAGUCCUGGGUAAAUUCAGUGUCAGUCUUAGGUCACUGGGAAUCAGACAAGUGACUUCAUGUAAAGCCAGCCAGGUCUGCUCUAAAAG
rnacentral:lncRNA from 1 species